rnacentral:lncRNA from 1 species
UCAGCAAAAGUUUUUCUUAUCCUAGUUUAUAAAUCAGAACCCCAAAUGUACAAUAUUUCUCAACAAAAGAAAAAACUUUCCUAAAAUAGAAAUUUUGAGAAUUUUAUUUUUAAAAUACAACCUAUUGGUAAAAAAAUCUAAAAGAAUACUCUUGUAUCAGCAAAAGUUUUUCUUAUCCUAGUUUAUAAAUCACAACCCCAAAUCUACAAUAUUUAUCGAUAAAAAUGAAAACUUUCCUAAAAUAGAAUUUUUGAAAAAUUUAUUUAAAAUAUACAAUAUUUUGAUUAAAAAAAAUCAAACAAAAUACUCUUCUAUCAACAGAAAUUCUUGUUGUCCUAAUCUCUAAACCACAAUCCCAAAUGUACA